rnacentral:lncRNA from 1 species
AAAAGUUCUACUUUAUUGAUAUGUAAAAGGUUGAAAGGUUACACGGCCAUAAAGGGACUUAUAUAUCGUCCAAGCGGCUUAGACUCAAAGAAAAUAAAAGACUCAAUGCGACAGGACUUGAAAAGGAAAGUGCAACAUCAAAGGGAAAAUAAAACAAAGAAAUUCAAAACUAUUAAACUUAAGUGUAUGAAAACAUUCUGGGAAAAAAACACAAAGAAAAACACACGGUUAAUCAAAAGAUAAUUGAAAUAAUUUGAAAGACUUACCUUAGAUGUUUAGGCGAGAUUGUCCUGUGUUUGAGUUGUCUUUGACCGAGCUUGAAUGUUUCCCUCUAGAUGUCUUGAUUCAUUCUCGAAAUGGAGAGUAUUUGGACUUGGGCUUGACUUGGUAAAAGAGGCCAGAAGUCUUGAUUCUUUGGGCUGUUUGAAGUUGAUGGAAACUCUUGAAAUGUCUCGGUACAAACUUGUAAACAAUGAUCCUUGUUAACCGUCUAUUCUUGGCCUUCUUCUAGUUGUUCUUCUCUUGGUAUCUCUUUGGCUGCGGCUUGUAUGCUUUGAUUAUACUUAUGUUGAAGUACUCUUUCCCUUGCCCUUGUUAUCGGUCCUUCAUGUAAUGCUGGAACUUCAAUGUCUUGGAGUUGAGGCUCGGUUAAAUCUGGUUCAGCUUGUUUGUCUUCAUCAUUUCCUCCCCCUAGAUGAGGUUUUGACCUCAAAACUGGUUCAUCUGCAAGAUAUGAGAAUAAAUCAGAUACAUUGAAAGUUGAAGAUACAUUGAACUCACCUGGUAGCUCAACCUUGUAGGCAUUGUUUUUGAUCUUCUAUAGGAUCUUGAAUGGGCCAUCGCAUCUUGGUGCAAGCUUGGAACUCCUCUGGUUUGGAAAUCUUUCGUGCCUCAUGUGCAGCCAAACCCAUUCUCCUGGUUCAAACACCAUUUCCUUUUGGACUUUGUUGGCGUGUCUCUCGUAUUUCUCAUUUCUUUCUCCAAGUUUUCCUUUGCUUUGUGAUGCAGUUUCUUGACAAACUCAGCUAACUUUUCUCCAUCUAGACUCACGGCUUCAGCUGGUGGUAGUUGGGUGAGUUCUAAUGUCGUAGUAGGAUUGAAACCAUAGAUAAUCUCAAAAGGUGACAUAUUUGUUGUUGAGUGUUGAGCUCUGUUGUAAGCAAACAAUAUGAAGGGAAUACACUCCAGCCAGUUUUUCCCAAUGGUCACUCGAAGCAAUGCAGAUAAUGUUCGGUUCACCACCUCUGUUUAUCCGUUUUUUUUUGGGGUGACAAUUUGUGGAAAAUAAGAGCUUGGUUCCAAGUUUUUUCCAUAAGCUUCUCCAAAAGUGGCUCAGAAAUUUGCUGUCUCGGUCAGAUACAAUUGUCUUUGGUACUCCAUGUAAGCGCACAAUUUCUUUGAAGAAAAAUCCACAGUUUUUGAUGCAUCAUUCACCUUGGCACAAGGUAUAAAAUGUGUCAUCUUGGAGAAUUUGUCCACCACCACAAAAUGGAGUCUUUGUGGUUGAUUUUUGGCAAUCCCAGCACAAAGUCCAUUAACAAAUCAACCUAAGGUGCUGUAGGAAUGGGCAGUGGUAUGUAUAACCUAUGAGGAUAUACUCUUGACUUAGUUUUCUUGCACACCACACACCUUGCACAAUGAACUUCUACGGUCUUCUUGAGGUUUGGCCAGUAGAAGUGUUCUUUCACCAUAGCUAAUGUUUUGCCUUCUCCGAAAUGCCUCAUGAGUCUUCUUCCAUGUGCUUCUCGGACGAUCAAGUCUCUAAGAGAGCAUUGCGGUAUGCAAAAACUCUUAUCUCUGAACAUGAAACCUUCGAAGAUAUAGAACUUACCAUGAGCUCCUUUGCUACACUCCUCAAAGUUCUCUCCUAGCUAUUGAUCCUCUUUGUAUUGAUCUUUGAUGAACUCAAAACCUAUAACCUUGGCUUCCAUUGUCGCGAUUAGUGCAUGCCUCCUUGCAAGCAUCAGCCACUAUGUUGUCUUUACCCUUCUUAUACUUGAUGAUGUAUGGGAAAGUCUCAAUAAACUCCAUCCACCUGGCGUUUCUUCUCUUAAAAUGAGUCUGUCCUCGCAAGUGUUUGAGUGUUUCAUGGUCAGUGUGCACCACAAAUUCUCUUGACAUGAGAUAGUGUUGCCAAGUCUCCAAGGCCCAAACUAGAGCAUAUAAAUCUUUUUCAUAUGUAGUGUAAUUAAGUGUGGUGCUCCACCUAAUUUUUCACUGAAAAAUGUCACUGGUUUCCCCUCUUGUGUCAAUACAGCUCCUAUACUCUACUUCAAAUGUUUUGUUGAAGUCUGGCAAGACAAGAACAAGUGCUUUGGUGAGCUUUGAUAUUUUCAUAUCUUUUCAUGUUUGGGAUGCAUUUUUAGUCCAAAAAUAGAGUCUCAUGUAUGCAUUUUAGUUAGAUUCUUCAUGUUUUUUCCUUGUUUUAGAGUUUUAGGACUUUGCAUUAGGUUCAAGUGAGUCUUGCAUGUUUGGAGAGUCUAUUAGGUACUUUGGAGGUCACUUGGAGUGGAAAAGGUGAAACCAAGUGAAGAAGUGGUGAAAGAAGGAGCAAAAAUAGUGAAAAUGAAGUUUAGAGGCUUAUCGAUAUUUUACUUUAUCGCGGGAAGGUUUUUACUGGCUAAGAAUCCUUCCCGGGAAGCUUUUCUCGGCCAAAGUCACGUACCGGAUCAAGCAGUACCGGCUAAGAUUUCUUGCCGCGGAAAACAAGUUUUAUCGGCUAAAAUAUUGUACUGCAGUACAUGAGUCUCAACCAAAACUUAUACCGGAAAGCCUUCCCGUCCGAUCCAGUCUCUUGUGUCUUCAUGAAAGUUUGAGAACAUUGAGUCCAGUUUCCAGAACACUUGAAGUCAGGAGAUUUGGAGCAGUGAGCUGAAAGUUAUCGCAAACAGAAGAACGACAUGUCUUGGAACCGUUUCCCUGAUCAAUUCAAUGCGCCUCAAAGAGAGGAGGCAAGCUUUACCGAAACAAAGGCUCAAAACCUCGACCUCUUGCCUCGAUCUAUUCUACCCCGAGGCCUCCUCUCUUCACACAUCCUGAGCAAGAACAUAUCCGCCUUGACAUAUAUGCCUCGGGAAGAUCAAGCUGAGACAUGCACGUGUUCUUGAGCAUUUACCCAGAUUUUCAUGCCUCGACAUGGAGGCCUCGGCUUGGAGAUCUAGACAUUGACCCGAGGCAUACCCAUUUUUACCCAAAAAAACGGGUCUAAAAACCCUACUUAUCCUUUAUCUACUUUUAGAACUUGCCUCUUUUGUGAAAACCUCAUAUUUUGUCAAGAGAUAUCUUUGAGUUAAUCAGAUUUAAAGCUAUUUCUUGCAAUCUUAUCAUCUUAUCUCAUCAUUUAAAGCUUCUAAUCAUGAUUAACAACAGUGUGUUAAUCAUGAUUAGAUAGUAGUCUUUUCAUAAGGUUCUAGAUAUGUACAAUAGGGUGCAAAUGUGUUAGAUUAAGGAGUUUAGGAGUUAGAUCAUGCAUUUUCCUUUCUCUAGUUAGCUAUUCCUAAUGCCAGAUCUCUGAUAAUCACUUUGGUCUAGAGUUUAGGCUUUUCACCAUCCAAAAGGUGUUUGAUUAAAUGCCUAAACCAGCUAAUUAGAGGUUUAUACUUUGUUUAUCAUAUAAAUGAUUGUUUAAUGCAUAAAUGACAUAUUAGAGCUGAUUAAUAAUGUUUACUGAUUCAUAUUUCACAAAUGGGAAUUUGGUUAGAAAGUGGAUUAGUAUAUAGAUUAAUUCCUUCAUGAGAGGAUUAGUUUACAUUUGAGUUCUAAGUUGAUUGGAAUUAUUAUUGUUUGUCAUUAGCUCUCUAGUUUAACACUAAUGCACCCUGAUCAACUAUCAUGUCUAGAACCUUUGUUUACAUCAUAUUCAUAUCAUCAUCAUCUUGUCUUUGUUUGUUUUGCUUGCUUUUGAAUCAUCUUGUCAAUCUUAUUUAGUUUCUUUUAAUCAUUUGUUACAAAACUAACCUACUAUGUUUGCUUGGAUUAGGAAUAGAUCACAUAGAUUAGUGAACUAAACCACAUUUUUGGAUUGAUACUCUUUGUGCUACAAUAGACAAAGGGAUUGAUACCCUAAGAGCCUAAAAAAACUCUUGUUUAUCAAUUGGCACCGUUGCCAAAGUGUGGAUUUAGCAUUAGUCUCUGGUUUGUUCUUGAGAUCAAGUGUUUUUGUUUUACUGAUUAAACUUUCUAGUUCUGGUUUUGGAGUUUCAAAUGAAUCGGUGAUGGAGCGACUAAGUAACAAGAUGGAAUGAAGUGAACCACACAAUUGUGAAAGACUUGUGAUAUAACACGAGUUUCUUUGGUCUAGGAGGUACUGGUCUCGAAUAGAACAAAGGAUAAAAUAGGCUUAUUUGCUAAAAAAACUUGCUUAAGAAAAGUUAUACUUUAUUAAUAUGAAAAAGGUUGAAAGGUUACACGGCCGUAAAGGGACUUAUAUAUCGUCCAAGCGGCUUAGACUCAAAGAAAAUAAAAGACUGAAUGCGACAGGACUUGAAAAGGAAAGUGCAACAUCAAAGGGAACAUAAAAAAAGAAAUUCAAAACUACUAAACUUAAGUCUAUGAAAAGAUUCUCGGGAAAAAGACACAAAUAAAAACACACGGUUAGUCAAAAGAUAAUUGAAAUAAUUUGAAAGACUUACCUUAGUGGUUUAGGUGAGAUUGUCGUGUGUUUGAGUUGUCUUUGACCGAGCUUGAAUGUUCUCCUCUAGAUUUCUUGAUUCAUUCUCAAAAUGGAGAGUAUUUGGACUUGGGCUUGACUUGGUAAAAGAGGCCAGAAGUCUUGAUUCUUUGGGCUGUUUGAAGUUGAUUAAAACUCUUGAAAUGUCUCGGUCCAAACUUGUAAACCAUGAUCCUUUUUAACCAUCUUUUCUUAGCCUUCUUCUAGUUGUUCUUCUCUUGGUAUCUCUUUGGCUGCGGCUUGUAUGCUUUGAUUAUACUUGUGUUGAAGUACUCUAGCCCUUACUCUUGUUAUCGGUCCUUCAUGUAAUGCUGGAACUUCAAUGUCUUGGAGUUGAAGCUCGGUUAAAUCUGGUUCAGCUUGAAUGUCCUCAUCAUUCCCUCCCCUUUUGAUGAGGUUUUGACCUAAAAACUGGUUCACCUGCAAGAUAUGGGAAUAAAUCAGAUACAUUGAAAGUUGAAGAUACAUUGAACUCACCUGGUAGCUCAAGCUUGUAGGCAUUGUUGUUGAUCUUCUCUAGGAUCUUGAAUGGGUCAUCUCCUCUCGGUGCAAGCUUGGAACUCCUCUAGUUUGGAAAUCUUUCGUGCCUCAUGUGCAGCCAAACCCAUUCUCCUGGUUCAAACACCAUUUCCUUGCAGCCUUUGUUGGCGUGUCUCUCGUAUUGCUCGGUUUGUUUCUCCAAGUUUUCCUUUGCUUUCUGAUGCAGUUUCUUGACAAUCUCAGCUUUCUUUUCUCCAUCUAGACUCACGGCUUCAGCUGGUGGUUGUGGGGUGAGUUCUAAUGGCGUAGUAGGAUUAAAACCAUAGACAAUCUCAAAAGGUGAUAUCUUUAUUGCCGAGUGUUGAGCUCUGUUGUAAGCAAACUCUAUGAAGGGAAUACACUCUAGCCAGUUCUUCAAGUUUUUCCCAAUGAUCACUUGAAGCAAUGCAGAUAAUGUUCGGUUCACCACCUCUGUUUCUAUGUCUGUUUGGGGGUGAUAAGUUGUGGAAAACAAAAGCUUGGUUCCAAACUUUUUCCAUAAGCUUCUCCAAAAAUUGUUCGAAAAUUUGCUAUCUCGGUCAGAUACAAUUGUCCUUGAUACUCCAUGUAAGCGCACAACUUCUUUGAAGAAUAUAUCACUUUUUG